AGGUUUACAAUAUUUCUGGGUCAUCUUCAUUAAGUAUCAGAGAACCCUGUUUCUGUAGGCAUAUGAAAAAAGCAGAUGAGAUAAUUCUGUCUAUUCCUUCUGAUGCUGCUUGCAAGCUGUGGGGUGUUGAUAUGGGCCCUACAAAUGUUGACAUACAUACUGAUGAUGGCCGCAUUUUUAAUGUUUGUUUAACCGAAUCUAAAGGAAAUUUGUUCUUUUUCCAUGGAUGGUCCAAUGUAACCCAACAUUUGGG